rnacentral:rRNA from 1 species
CCUACGGGUGGCAGCAGUGAGGAAUAUUGGUCAAUGGGCGGAAGCCUGAACCAGCCAAGUAGCGUGCGGGAUGACGGCCCUAUGGGUUGUAAACCGCUUUUGCCCGGGGAUAAAAAGCUCCACUUGUGGCGGUUUGAAAGUACCGUGAGAAUAAGCGUCGGCUAAUUCCGUGCCAGCAGCCGCGGUAAUACGGAGGGGCCGAGCGUUAUCCGGAUUUAUGGGGUUUAAAGGGAGCGUAGGCGGGGGUUUAAGUCAGCGGUAAAAUUGCGCGGCUCAACCGCGCCCCGUAGUUGAAACUGGAUGCGUGGAGUUCACAAGAGGCAGGCGGAAUUCGUGGUGUAGCGGUGAAAUGCAUAGAUAUCACGAAGAACUCCGAGUGCGAAGGCAGCACACCGGGGUGCGACUGACGCUGAGGCUCGAAAGUGUGGGUAUCAAACAGGAUUAGAUACCCUUGUAGUC